rnacentral:rRNA from 1 species
AUUGAACGCUGGCGGCAGGCCUAACACGUGCAAGUCGAACGGUAACAGGAAGCAGCUUGCUGCUUCGCUGACGAGUGGCGGACGGGUGAGUAAUGUCUGGGAAACUGCCUGAUGGAGGGGGAUAACUACUGGAAACGGUAGCUAAUACCGCAUAACGUCGCAAGACCAAAGAGGGGGACCUUCGGGCCUCUUGCCAUCGGAUGUGCCCAGAUGGGAUUAGCUAGUAGGUGGGGUAACGGCUCACCUAGGCGACGAUCCCUAGCUGGUCUGAGAGGAUGACCAGCCACACUGGAACUGAGACACGGUCCAGACUCCUACGGGAGGCAGCAGUGGGGAAUAUUGCACAAUGGGCGCAAGCCUGAUGCAGCCUUGCCGCGUGUAUGAAGAAGGCCUUCGGGUUGUAAAGUACUUUCAGCGGGGAGGAAGGCGAUAAGGUUAAUAACCUUGUCGAUUGACGUUACCCGCAGAAGAAGCACCGGCUAACUCCGUGCCAGCCGCCGCCGUAA